rnacentral:rRNA from 1 species
UACGAAGGGGGCUAGCGUUGCUCGGAAUUACUGGGCGUAAAGCGCACGUAGGCGGCUUCUUAAGUCGGUGGUGAAAUCCUGGAGCUCAACUCCAGAACUGCCUUCGAUACUGGGAGCUCGAGUCCGGGAGAGGUGAGUGGAACUGCGAGUGUAGAGGUGAAAUUCGUAGAUAUUCGCAAGAACACCAGUGGCGAAGGCGGCUCACUGGCCCGAUACUGACGCUGAGGCACGAAAGCGUGGGGAGCAAACAGG